rnacentral:lncRNA from 1 species
CAUAUUUGUCCAUGCUGCGUGCAUGUUUAAGGACACAGACAGUUUUUGCAGCCUUGAUUUUUAAAGCUAGAUGAAAGCACAUUGAAACUGAAAGCUGCCGUUCCUAACUGGUGGCACUGGUAGCCCUUGCUGUGUGGAAAAAUUGCUCUGUGUGAGUUCUGCACAUGGAUGAGCGGAGUAUGCAGGAAGGAGGAAUCUGUGAAGACCUGUCUGCAUUGCCGUUUCUUUUUCAAUAGCCAUAAGAUGCAGGCAUUCUCACUCCUGAGACACUGAGUGUGGACACUGAAAAAAAUGCUCCUCUGUGCUCAGCAGUGCCCAGCCGCAAGACAGCCAGCAUGUGAAUGAGGACCCAACUUCCCCUCAACCAGAAGCCCAGCUCUCCUCCAAGUGUCAACACUUACAGACAUCAACCAUGGAAACUUCUCGCUCCCCUUCACCUCAGUUUGCCCCACAGAAGCUGACAGACAAGCCUCCCCUGCUUAUCCAUGAAGACAAUUCAGCAAGAAUUGAGCGGGUGAUGGACAACAACACCACUGUGAAGAUGGUGCCCAUAAAAAUUGUGCACUCAGAAAGCCAGCCUGA